AUAUGGACUUUAAAAUAGUGCACUGCAUGACGUCACCGCAAGGCUUAGACGAUAUAUGUAUUUAUUGAUCUGGAUAAUUAUGCUAAUAUUAAUGUGGGGGCGGGUGCGUAAGUUCCAGACUGUUUCUGCGGUGGCUGGAAGUCGUCCAUCGCAUUCAGCGGGUACUACGGCUGUGAGAAGGCCGGGCUGGGGGCGACGAGACGCGGGGAAGAGGCGUGCGAGGGCUCCUUCUUUACCUUCCUUCAGUCCGCUCCUCGGAGCCGAACAGGACGCACGGACUUUUACGCACAUCCACUUUAGUUCGAAAUUGGUGUACCUAAUGUUGCGUCCAAAGGCGACCUUCCCCGAAGUUAUCUCUUCCGAAGUUCACCGAGAGGUCGUGGGUGACACGAUGUCACGCUGACAUGAUCCGAAUGAGGAAUCUCACCAAGCGUAAGGGAUUGAGUCGGCGAACGCAGCUCAGAACAUCUGAGUCGAGGCGGCUCACAAAAGCGGCGCCUGCUGUCAACGAAUCCCGCGAUUGAUUCGUCCUUCCGUUAAUUAUGACGACCGUCGUUUAGCGUUUGACAGCAUCCAUCUCGACGUCCUUUGUGAUGGUGGCACACCUGCGUGGCUUUAAUUGCAACGUUUUCUUUUCGGCCUUGAAAUGCCAAACGUUUGAGCCAAAGAAAAUCACAAGUUGUCAAUGAGAACACCUGGAGAAAGAUUUCAAUUGUGUUUUUCAUCCCAGCUGUUACCCAUUGUUGCUACAUCUUUUUGACAGAAAAAUCUCAUUAAAGUCAACAACUGUUGCAUUUUUCAACAGAAUUAGCCACAUUUUUUUGUAUAAAGUAACUUCACUCAACGCAUCUCUGAGUUAGUACCUCUACUUGACAUAUCAAUAAAAUAUUUUGGACUUUUCUUUUGCAUACGUGUAGGGAAAUCUAUACUUUAAAAUGGUAAGAGUGAGGCAAUCAAUGAAGCUGCCUCAAUCUGCACGUACCUCUUUAGCUGAUCAGUUCCUUCUGCAUCAUUUCUUGCCGCCCUUAGUCUCCUGUGGGAUAAGCAAAAUGGCUGCGUUAUUGUGACAUUUGAGGAUACACAGCUAGAAAUGACAACAGUAACAAUGCAUAUCAUCUUCCCUCCGGAAGCUGCAGUAUAUCGUAGCCACAGUCUCCGCUUCACUGCAACUGCCCAUAAUCUCUUCUCAAAUAAAAUCCUGCGUGGAAGUAAA